rfam:Trichobilharzia regenti genome assembly, scaffold: TRE_scaffold0001619
GUAUUGCUGAAGAGUCCCAAACUAGGACGAAACAGCUGUGGAGUAC